rnacentral:snRNA from 1 species
UGUCCUCCAUAGGAGGUCUAUAUUGAGCAGAUUCUUUUUGAUAUUGGUUGGUGGACCUGGAGCGUGCUCCAUCCACUCCAUGCAUUGACCUGGUAUUGCAGUGCUUCCAGGACCGGUGC